rnacentral:piRNA from 2 species
UGAGCUGUUGUUCAGGAGGCCCUCACUGC